ensembl:lncRNA
GUCCUAGGCACGAUUAGCCUACAUUUAGUCUCAAUUACAUCACCUCUGUUAAUUAGUAACGACCUCAACCGGAUUUUUUGUUUGUCCAAGACAACAUUCCUGUUUUCUGUACGACCUACGAUCAUAGUUUGCAUCGGCAUUGCAUCACACCGAGAGGGUACUUUCCGAAAAUGGUCCUACGUACCCUGUCCAAUUCAACAUACUCUCGAGGAGACGAGAAGUAGCAACCUGUUAGCCCCCAGCAUGCUGUCGACCCGCAGCCAAAUCUCAAGCGCCAGUCAAGGCUUCUCUGUCAACAAGCCUCGUCACCAGCCUCUGGCGUGGUUCUGCCUGUGUCUACGCCCUCCAUUGCGGUCCCUCCUAUACGUCGCCGGCCACCUUCCGGCCCUCGUUCAGCCUCCAUCGCGGUUCUGAAAGUUGUUUUACUCGCUCCCAGAUCUCCUGUUUGCCCUUUUCAACACCCAGGCCGUCCACCUAAGGUUUCCGGCUUGACUUAGGCUUUGAGGCCACUUGCCCCUGAAACCCUCCUCAAUACCUUCUCAACCCACCCUGCCUGGUUUUCCUGACUGGCCUUGUGCCAUGUCUUGAAUCCGUCCUUUGCACCUGCCCCUCAUUCCAACCAUUAACCACUUAUAUACCAUUUCGCUUUAUUUGUUCCCUAGUAGUUUUGAUUCUCAUGUCACUCUGUCAUUCCCUAAUCUUUAGCCUUCUCUAGGCUAGUUCAGUGAACUAAGGUUUUUAUUAUUUUAUGUAUUAAACUAUUUGUAACACUUCUUGCCUGCAUUUGGAUCCUAUCCCUUUUUGUUCCAGCACUGAUGUGUUUAUGUGAGU